rnacentral:rRNA from 1 species
AAGCGAAAUAGUGAUAUAGAGCAAAACCCUAAAAACGGUCUCAGUUCGGAUUGAAGGCUGAAAUUCGCCUUCAUGAAGCUGGAAUUGCUAGUAAUGGCAGGUCAGCAUACUGCCGUGAAUACGUUCCCGGGCCUUGUACACACCGCCCGUCACACCAUGAGAGUUGGGAAUACCCGAAGCCUGUGAGCUAACUGUAAGGAGGCAGCAGUCGAAGGUAGAAUCAAUGAUUGGGGUGAAGUCGUAACAAGGUACC